UCAAGUGAAAGAAGGGCAUUUGGUGGAUGCCUUGGCAUGCACAGGCGAUGAAGGACGUGAUACGCUGCGAAAAGCCGUGGGGAGCUGCGAAUAAGCUUUGAUCCAUGGAUCUCCGAAUGGGGCAACCCACCUUAGAUGCUUGGAAAAUUUAAGCCGUGCGCAAGUACGGCUUAAAUUUCCAAGCAUUGUUGAAAGGUAUCUUAUCCUGAAUACAAUAGGGAUAAGAAGCGAACGCAGGGAACUGAAACAUCUAAGUACCUGCAGGAAAGGACAUCAACCGAGACUCCGCAAGUAGCGGCGAGCGAACGCGGACCAGGCCAGUGGCAAUGAGGAAUAAAGUGGAAAGAUCUGGAAAGGUCUGCCGUAGCGGGUGACAGCCCCGUACACGUAGAACACUCAUUGUCCUUGAGUAGGGCGGGACACGAGAAAUCCUGUCUGAACAUGGGGAGACCACUCUCCAAGCCUAAGUACUCGUGCAUGACCGAUAGCGAACAAGUACCGUGAGGGAAAGGUGAAAAGCACCCCGACAAGGGGAGUGAAAUAGAACCUGAAACCGGAUGCCUACAAACAGUCGGAGCCCGCAAGGGUGACGGCGUACCUUUUGUAUAAUGGGUCAACGACUUAGUGUGGCAUGCAAGCUUAAGCCGGUAGGUGGAGGCGUAGCGAAAGCGAGUCUGAACAGGGCGCUUUAGUAUGUCGCAUUAGACCCGAAACCGAGUGAUCUAGCCAUGAGCAGGUUGAAGGUUGGGUAACACCAACUGGAGGACCGAACCCGCAUCUGUUGCAAUAGAUUGGGAUGACUUGUGGCUAGGGGUGAAAGGCCAAUCAAACUCGGAAAUAGCUGGUUCUCCGCGAAAUCUAUUUAGGUAGAGCGUCGACCGAAUACCCCCGGGGGUAGAGCACUGGAUGGGCUAUGGGGACUCACCGUCUUACUGAUCCUAACCAAACUCCGAAUACCGGGGAGUACUAGUCGGCAGACACACGGCGGGUGCUAACGUCCGUCGUGAAGAGGGCAACAACCCUGACCUCCAGCUAAGGUCCCCAAGUCAUGGCUAAGUGGGAAAGGAUGUGAGGAUCCCAAAACAACCAGGAUGUUGGCUUAGAAGCAGCCAUCAUUUAAAGAAAGCGUAACAGCUCACUGGUCUAAAUAAGGGUCUUUGCGCCGAAAAUGUAACGGGGCUAAAGCCAUGCACCGAAGCUGAGGCUUGUAGCAUUCCUCGGAGUGCUGCAGGGGUAGCGGAGCGUUCCGUAAGCCUGUGAAGGGAUACCCGUGAGGGGUCCUGGAGGUAUCGGAAGUGCGAAUGUUGACAUGAGUAACGAUAAAGAGGGUGAGAGACCCUCUCGCCGAAAGACCAAGGGUUCCUGCUUAAAGUUAAUCUGAGCAGGGUUAGCCGGCCCCUAAGACGAGGCGGACACGCGUAGUCGAUGGGAACCACGUUAAUAUUCGUGGGCCUGGUGGUAGUGACGGAUUGCUUAACUUGUUCGGACUUAAUGGAUUGUCCGGGCGGGGACGCGGUUCCAGGAAAUAGCUCCACCGUAUAGACCGUACCCGAAACCGACACAGGUGGUCAGGUAGAGUAUACCAAGGCGCUUGAGAGAACUAUGCUGAAGGAACUCGGCAAAUUGCACGCGUAACUUCGGAAGAAGCGUGACCCUUUUUGACGCAAGUCAGAUGGGGUGGCACAGACCAGGGGGUAGCGACUGUUUAUCAAAAACACAGGGCUCUGCGAAGUCGCAAGACGACGUAUAGGGUCUGACGCCUGCCCGGUGCUGGAAGGUUAAGAGGAGGGGUGCAAGCUCUGAAUCGAAGCCCCAGUAAACGGCGGCCGUAACUAUAACGGUCCUAAGGUAGCGAAAUUCCUUGUCGGGUAAGUUCCGACCUGCACGAAUGGCGUAACGACUUCCCCGCUGUCUCCAGCAUAGACUCAGUGAAAUUGAAUUCCCCGUGAAGAUGCGGGGUUCCUGCGGUCAGACGGAAAGACCCCGUGCACCUUUACUAUAGCUUUACACUGGCAUUCGUGUCGGCAUGUGUAGGAUAGGUGGUAGGCUUUGAAGCGGGGACGCCAGUUCUCGUGGAGCCAUCCUUGAAAUACCACCCUUAUCGUCAUGGAUGUCUAACCGCGGUCCGUUAUCCGGAUCCGGGACAGUGUAUGGUGGGUAGUUUGACUGGGGCGGUCGCCUCCGAAAGAGUAACGGAGGCGCGCGAUGGUGGGCUCAGACCGGUCGGAAAUCGGUCGUCGAGUGCA
rnacentral:rRNA from 1 species